UACGUAGGGUGCGAGCGUUGUCCGGAAUUAUUGGGCGUAAAGAGCUCGUAGGCGGUCUGUCGCGUCUGCUGUGAAAUCCCGAGGCUCAACCUCGGGCCUGCAGUGGGUACGGGCAGACUAGAGUGCGGUAGGGGAGAUUGGAAUUCCUGGUGUAGCGGUGGAAUGCGCAGAUAUCAGGAGGAACACCAGCGGCGAAGGCGGCGCUCUGGGCCGGAACUGACGCUGAGGAGCGAAAGCGUGGGGAGCAAACAGG
rnacentral:rRNA from 1 species